AUGCUGCUUUUUGCUGCGCUAUUCAUUUUUAGCCAAACUUCAUAUGUGGCUUCCGCAGAGGUGACCCAAUGGGCAGAGAUCAUGAUUGAGGGGAAUAAAACAUUAGAUGUUGCAGUCCAUCUGCCUGGACUUAUAGGGACUCUUCUGGAUACAACAGGGGUAACUAUCACAGAUGCUGAAAUAGCAGCAGGUAAGUUAAACAUACCAUGAUUCGAGUAAUAGGUUUUUCUUUCUGAUGUUGAUUUAAUUGUUUAAAUUCACAAUUGACCUACCGGUAAGCCCCGCCCCCCUUGGUUACUGUUGCUCCCUCGGACAAACAAAGGAGUUGCUCACUCUUACAGUGACAGCUGUCAGUGUGAAAACCUUGUCCCACGAUGUUAUGCACAAUUUUGGACACAGAAGGGCCACCAUUCAAGUGGGAAUUAAAUAUUCCAUGGAGGGAUAUAUAAAAUAUUUUAAAAUAAAUAUGGUGGGUAACUCGAAGCGAGGGUUUAC
ensembl:lncRNA